CGGGACACGUGGUAUCCUGUCUGAAUAUGGGGGGACCAUCCUCCAAGGCUAAAUACUCCUGACUGACCGAUAGUGAACCAGUACCGUGAGGGAAAGGCGAAAAGAACCCCGGCGAGGGGAGUGAAAAAGAACCUGAAACCGUGUACGUACAAGCAGUGGGAGCCUCUUUAUGGGGUGACUGCGUACCUUUUGUAUAAUGGGUCAGCGACUUAUAUUCUGUAGCAAGGUUAACCGAAUAGGGGAGCCGAAGGGAAACCGAGUCUUAACUGGGCGUUAAGUUGCAGGGUAUAGACCCGAAACCCGGUGAUCUAGCCAUGGGCAGGUUGAAGGUUGGGUAACACUAACUGGAGGACCGAACCGACUAAUGUUGAAAAAUUAGCGGAUGACUUGUGGCUGGGGGUGAAAGGCCAAUCAAACCGGGAGAUAGCUGGUUCUCCCCGAAAGCUAUUUAGGUAGCGCCUCGUGAAUUCAUCUCCGGGGGUAGAGCACUGUUUCGGCAAGGGGGUCAUCCCGACUUACCAACCCGAUGCAAACUGCGAAUACCGGAGAAUGUUAUCACGGGAGACACACGGCGGGUGCUAACGUCCGUCGUGAAGAGGGAAACAACCCAGACCGCCAGCUAAGGUCCCAAAGUCAUGGUUAAGUGGGAAACGAUGUGGGAAGGCCCAGACAGCCAGGAUGUUGGCUUAGAAGCAGCCAUCAUUUAAAGAAAGCGUAAUAGCUCACUGGUCGAGUCGGCCUGCGCGGAAGAUGUAACGGGGCUAAACCAUGCACCGAAGCUGCGGCAGCGACGCUUAUGCGUUGUUGGGUAGGGGAGCGUUCUGUAAGCCUGCGAAGGUGUGCUGUGAGGCAUGCUGGAGGUAUCAGAAGUGCGAAUGCUGACAUAAGUAACGAUAAAGCGGGUGAAAAGCCCGCUCGCCGGAAGACCAAGGGUUCCUGUCCAACGUUAAUCGGGGCAGGGUGAGUCGACCCCUAAGGCGAGGCCGAAAGGCGUAGUCGAUGGGAAACAGGUUAAUAUUCCUGUACUUGGUGUUACUGCGAAGGGGGGACGGAGAAGGCUAUGUUGGCCGGGCGACGGUUGUCCCGGUUUAAGCGUGUAGGCUGGUUUUCCAGGCAAAUCCGGAAAAUCAAGGCUGAGGCGUGAUGACGAGGCACUACGGUGCUGAAGCAACAAAUGCCCUGCUUCCAGGAAAAGCCUCUAAGCAUCAGGUAACAUCAAAUCGUACCCCAAACCGACACAGGUGGUCAGGUAGAGAAUACCAAGGCGCUUGAGAGAACUCGGGUGAAGGAACUAGGCAAAAUGGUGCCGUAACUUCGGGAGAAGGCACGCUGAUAUGUAGGUGAAGCGACUUGCUCGUGGAGCUGAAAUCAGUCGAAGAUACCAGCUGGCUGCAACUGUUUAUUAAAAACACAGCACUGUGCAAACACGAAAGUGGACGUAUACGGUGUGACGCCUGCCCGGUGCCGGAAGGUUAAUUGAUGGGGUUAGCGGUAACGCGAAGCUCUUGAUCGAAGCCCCGGUAAACGGCGGCCGUAACUAUAACGGUCCUAAGGUAGCGAAAUUCCUUGUCGGGUAAGUUCCGACCUGCACGAAUGGCGUAAUGAUGGCCAGGCUGUCUCCACCCGAGACUCAGUGAAAUUGAACUCGCUGUGAAGAUGCAGUGUACCCGCGGCAAGACGGAAAGACCCCGUGAACCUUUACUAUAGCUUGACACUGAACAUUGAGCCUUGAUGUGUAGGAUAGGUGGGAGGCUUUGAAGUGUGGACGCCAGUCUGCAUGGAGCCGACCUUGAAAUACCACCCUUUAAUGUUUGAUGUUCUAACGUUGGCCCCUGAUCGGGGUUGCGGACAGUGUCUGGUGGGUAGUUUGACUGGGGCGGUCUCCUCCUAAAGAGUAACGGAGGAGCACGAAGGUUGGCUAAUCCUGGUCGGACAUCAGGAGGUUAGUGCAAUGGCAUAAGCCAGCUUGACUGCGAGCGUGACGGCGCGAGCAGGUGCGAAAGCAGGUCAUAGUGAUCCGGUGGUUCUGAAUGGAAGGGCCAUCGCUCAACGGAUAAAAGGUACUCCGGGGAUAACAGGCUGAUACCGCCCAAGAGUUCAUAUCGACGGCGGUGUUUGGCACCUCGAUGUCGGCUCAUCACAUCCUGGGGCUGAAGUAGGUCCCAAGGGUAUGGCUGUUCGCCAUUUAAAGUGGUACGCGAGCUGGGUUUAGAACGUCGUGAGACAGUUCGGUCCCUAUCUGCCGUGGGCGCUGGAGAACUGAGGGGGGCUGCUCCUAGUACGAGAGGACCGGAGUGGACGCAUCACUGGUGUUCGGGUUGUCAUGCCAAUGGCACUGCCCGGUAGCUAAAUGCGGAAGAGAUAAGUGCUGAAAGCAUCUAAGCACGAAACUUGCCCCGAGAUGAGUUCUCCCUGAGACUUUAAGUCUCCUGAAGGAACGUUGAAGACGACGACGUUGAUAGGCCGGGUGUGUAAGCGCAGCGAUGCGUUGAGCUAACCGGUACUAAUGAACCGUGAGGCUUAACCUU
rnacentral:rRNA from 1 species